CGCUGAUUGGGCAGUGUGGCUGCUCGUCAGCGGGUCCGGACCUGGCGCGGCCCGUGAGGGGGCCGCGACGAGAGGCCAUUGUGGCGAGGGAGGCCUUGGGAGGUGGAGGAGUGAAGCCGCUACCGCGGGACCCAAGCGCCGAGCCGCAGGAGCAGACGAUCUUGAAAACUGCCAGGUCCUUGGGGGAAAAAACUACAUGACACUGCAACAUGAGUGACAGUAAAUGUGAUAGUCAGUUUUACGGUGUUCAAGUCGCAGAUUCCACAUUCACUGUACUAAAACGGUACCAACAAUUGAAGCCCAUAGGAUCUGGGGCUCAGGGCAUUGUUUGUGCUGCAUUUGAUACAGUCCUUGGGAUAAAUGUUGCAGUAAAGAAGCUGAGUCGUCCUUUUCAGAACCAAACUCAUGCAAAAAGAGCUUACAGGGAGCUUGUUCUUUUAAAAUGUGUCAAUCACAAAAACAUAAUUAGUUUGUUAAAUGUAUUCACACCACAGAAGUCACUGGAAGAAUUUCAAGAUGUGUAUUUGGUUAUGGAACUGAUGGAUGCUAACUUGUGCCAGGUUAUUCAUAUGGAGUUGGAUCAUGAAAGAAUGUCCUACCUUCUCUACCAGAUGUUGUGUGGUAUCAAACAUCUCCAUUCAGCUGGUAUUAUCCACAGAGAUUUGAAACCCAGCAAUAUAGUAGUAAAAUCAGAUUGUACACUCAAAAUCCUUGAUUUUGGACUGGCAAGAACAGCAUGUACUAAUUUUAUGAUGACGCCGUACGUAGUAACACGGUAUUACAGAGCACCGGAGGUUAUCCUAGGCAUGGGAUACAAAGAGAAUGUUGAUAUCUGGUCAGUUGGGUGCAUCAUGGGAGAAUUGGUGAAAGGUUGUGUGAUAUUCCAAGGCACUGAUCAUAUUGAUCAAUGGAAUAAAGUUAUUGAACAGUUAGGAACUCCAUCAGCAGAUUUUAUGAAGAAACUACAGCCUACUGUGAGGAAUUAUGUAGAAAACAGACCGAAAUAUCCGGGUAUCAAAUUUGAAGAGCUCUUCCCAGACUGGAUAUUUCCAUCGGAAUCUGACCGUGACAAAUUAAAAACAAGUCAAGCUAGAGAUUUAUUAUCAAAAAUGCUGGUAGUAGACCCAGACAAACGAAUUUCUGUAGAUGAAGCCUUACGACAUCCAUAUAUCACGGUCUGGUAUGAUCCAGCUGAAGCGGAAGCACCUCCUCCUAAAAUCUAUGAUGCACAGCUGGAAGAAAGAGAACAUGCCAUUGAAGAAUGGAAAGAAUUAAUAUACAAAGAAGUAAUGGAUUGGGAAGAAAGAAGCAAGAAUGGUGUGGUAAAAGAUCAGCCCUCAGAUGCAGCAGUGAAUAGCAACACCAGUCCUUCCCAGUCAUCAUCGAUCAAUGACAUUUCAUCCAUGUCAACUGAGCAAACAUUGGCUUCAGAUACAGACAGCAGCCUUGAUGCCUUGACAGGACCCCUUGAAGGAUGCCGAUGAUCAGCCAGGAUUGCAGACUUCACUUUGGGAAAAAAACUCGUUUCCAUUGGCCUGAAUUGCUUUUCUUUGGAGACAGCGGUUCAGGUAUAGAAGAGCGUGGCGAGAGGUGAAAACAAGAUAGGAAGGAUUCUUGAGGAAAGUGGGACUUCAGGAGGUAAUGAGGCAUUUGUUACACAAAUGAGCCAACCAAAGGAGCUGCAUGUUGGAAGGUGCAAAACUGAGGGUGGGAGGAGAGGAAGAGUAAACUGGUUGGAGUAGAGCCCAGUUCAAAAAUUCAGCCAGUUGUGCUAUUCUAUAAAGCCUUGAAAUGAGUGUGAAAUAACUUAAUUUGCGAUGGUAAAAGACUAGAAACCGUGUAUUUAAGAAGGAUAUUGGGUGAUGUGGUUGGAGAGACUAGAGAGUGUGUGGAGUGGACUGGAUCGCAUACACCUUACUCACAAGUAAGGGUCUGUAAAACCUUGCUUCAGUGAUUUAACAGUUUUGAGCACUGAGUGAAACAGUCUGCUUCACUCGGUGUACAUAUCAAUGGAUCAUAUAGAAUGAGGCAGUGUUAUAAUCCGAUGAUGUGCAUUGGCACCUCAUUCCUGAUCUCAAACUUGUUCUUUCCUUUUCAGAGAACUAAGGUUUAUUUACAGGACUGAGGCUUCAUGAACAGGCCCAGGUUCAAAGACUGCCCAGAUGAUAGCUCAUGCUCCCUGUCUCCAAUGAAAAAUGUUCCACAACCUUUCUUUUAUUAAGAAUAUUUUUACUGGCACAGUCUCUCCCUUAUGCCUUUAUGAAGCGUGAUGACAACACAGACUUCCUUAUUCAUUGCACAUAUUAUCAAAUCAUAUAACAUGAGGCAGCACUUCUAUGGCGUGCUGACUCAUUCCAUCUGCGCCUUCACAAAUCAUCCGGCAUGUGCACCUAUACAUUAAAAUAAAAUGUGAUCCAAUGUACACAUACACAAAGUAAGACUCCAAGAUGUGUUUGUUUUUUGCCCUUAAAACAUGGUCAAGUCAAACCUGAUUUUUUUUCCCCCACUGUACCACCAAAUAUACACACAUCGGGCUAAUGUCCCUGUCAGACCUCAAGCUUCUACUGCCUCUAGAUGAAGUACAAGAGAAGCUUUUAACUAAGGCCUGGUCUACACUUUGGGGCUAAGUUGCCCUAAGUUACGCAAUUCCAGCUACGUCACUAGCUUAGGUCGAUUUAUUGCAGUGUCUACACCAUGCUGGGUCGACGGGAGAAACUCCCAUUAACUUACCUUACGCUUCUCUUUCCGGUGGAAAUGAUCUGCGGUCGAUUUAGCGGGUCUUCACUAGACCCGCUAAAUCGACCCCCAGUGGAUCAAUCACUGCAGCAUCUAUCCCCAGUAAGUGUAGAGAUAUACCCCUAAGUCACACUUCUGUUUUUCUUCCUCUUCACAUGGGAGAAGUGUACCUUUUCACUCCCAAACUGAUGCACUGUGUAUGCUCAGGCUUUCAGAAAUAUGUGCCCUUGGACUGAACACACAGAAAAUUUCAGCUUGAGAAGUAAGUUUUUGAGAAAGUUAGAAACUAAGACACUAUAUAAUGGAAAUUAUUGUGGCCUUUAACUACAGACAUCACCAUACCCAAUUCAGCAAAGCAGGUAGGUACAUGCUGUAAAUUUAGCAUAUGAAUAAUCCUAAUUCUAUUCAGCAAAACACUGAAGUGUGAUUAAAAUUAAGUGCUUUGUUGAAUACAGACCAUAAUGAGCAAUUGGGGAUUUGGUCGUCUUAAAAUACUUAUUUGUCCAUCAAAAAUCUUUUUCCCAUUGAUUUGAUCUGAACAUGGCAUAUAUCACUUGAGAACUCAUUAUCUGAAAAAUAUCAAAGUAGCCUUAGUUUCUUUCCAAAUAGGGUAGCUGGGAACUAAAUAGUUUUUUUUUUUUUUUAAAUCAGGGAGGUUUAUUUUACAUAAUUCAUAUGGGUAAGUUUCCUUUAAAAAUAUUGUCAGUGGUAAGUGAUGUUCAAAAAGGGGAAUUUUCUUUCUGUAUACUCCUUAUUUUUUUGGCAAAAACCAGCUGGAAUUUUACUUUCUUUCAUUCUGAACAGAGAAAAACAAUUGUCAUACUGGUACUGAGGAGGAGGAGGAAAAAUGCAACUAGCCGUAGGCACUGAAAUGUGACUUGGAGAUAUGUCCCCCGGGUUUUAUAAAAAAAAGUCACUCAAUUUUGUAUUCUUCAUGCCUUUUAUUAUGAACUGGCAAACAGUGACCAUAAUUACAUAAUUUAUUGAUUGUAUCCAAUCAUAACACAGGCCAUCAGUUAUCCCAGUGUUCAGCAUAUAAAUUAUGUUGUUUAUUGUUCUGGUUUUGCUUGAGGAAAAUGCAAGUUUUUAAACUCUCCUGUGACAUGCAUUUGAAUUGACCUUGGUUGCUCAUUAAUUGGUGUUGAUUCUAGUGACUGGAGAAACUAUAUUGGUAAUUUAGAAGUACAACUGUAAUAAGGCUAUUUGGUUAGUUACUUUGUGGAUGGGGAAAUGGACAGAAUGAAAUAUAAUCAUUUCUGCUUCGCACAGGUUCAAAUAAAGAUUUUUUUUUCUUCCA